GACGAACGCUGGCGGCGUGCCUAACACAUGCAAGUCGAGCGGGGUUGAGGCGAGAGGUAACUCGAGCUUCUACCUAGCGGCGGACGGGUGAGUAACGCGUGGGCAACCUGCCUCAAGGUUUGGGAUAACAGCCCGAAAGGGCUGCUAAUACCGGAUAUGCCUAUGGCCUCGCAUGGGGCUAUGAGCAAAGGGGAAACCCGCCUUGAGAUGGGCCCGCGUCCCAUCAGCUAGUUGGUGAGGUAACAGCUCACCAAGGCGACGACGGGUAGCCGGCCUGAGAGGGUGACCGGCCACACUGGGACUGAGACACGGCCCAGACUCCUACGGGGGGCAGCAGUGGGGGAUCUUGCACAAUGGGCGAAAGCCUGAUGCAGCGACGCCGCGUGAGCGAAGAAGGCCUUCGGUUGUAAAGCUCUGUCUGGAGGGACGAAGAAAGUGACGGUACCUCCGGAGGAAGCCACGGCUAACUACGUG
rnacentral:rRNA from 1 species